CUCCAGGCUCCUAUCGAAGCCGUUGUUGCUCUUUUUAGUAGCAUUCAACGGUCAAAAGGAAGCCGACAGAAAAACUUUCACCGACGGUCGCUGUUCGGUUUAAACGAAUAACUGAUACAGCAACAUUUUUGGGAAAGGAUAUUC
ensembl:snoRNA